rnacentral:tRNA from 12 species
GGGCCGGUAGCUCAGCCUGGAAGAGUGCUCGGCUUGCAACCGAGAGGUCCCGGGUUCAAAUCCCGGCCGGUCCA